UACGGAGGGUGCAAGCGUUAUCCGGAUUCACUGGGUUUAAAGGGUGCGUAGGAGGGUAGGUAAGUCAGUGGUGAAAUCUUCGAGCUUAACUCGGAAACUGCCGUUGAUACUAUCUAUCUUGAAUACCGUGGAGGUGAGCGGAAUAUGUCAUGUAGCGGUGAAAUGCUUAGAUAUGACAUAGAACACCAAUUGCGAAGGCAGCUCGCUACACGAAUAUUGACUCUGAGGCACGAAAGCGUGGGGAUCAAACAGGAUUAGAUACCCUGGUAGUCCACGCCCUAAACGAUGGAUACUCGACAUACGCGAYACACAGUGUGUGUCUGAGCGAAAGCAUUAAGUAUCCCACCUGGGAAGUACGACCGCAAGGUUG
rnacentral:rRNA from 1 species